CUGAACAGACUUUCCCUAGAUUUUCAUAAGUUCUAACAGAGUAUCCUUUCUUCUGCUACCAUAGCUAAUUUCAAACUCAAGCCUGCACAACCAAGCUCAAGAUCACGCAAGGCAAACAUUUGGUCAUCCUGGAUUGGAGGGAAGAAGGUUCACAAGUCUCCCUCUGGGCCAAACCCAGUAGGGAAUCACAACCCACCAACUAAGCAAUGAAUAAAUGGAUGCACUUUAACAUAGUGAGUAGACAGACAUCCGCAGCACUCUAUUAAAGUAGAAGGUCAAAUGUAUUCAUUUAGGUUGGAAAAAUCCUGAUCCCUGAGGUUUUUAUGCGUGUACAAAAAUGAAACUCAUUUGAAGAUUUGCACAUCUGAGACCAAUAUUCUGUCUUAGGAGAUACAUGGUUCUAACUAUUUAUCUUUGUUUUUGAACUAAGCUCUUUUUCCAGCAUAAAAAAUCCAAUUGAAACAA